rnacentral:lncRNA from 1 species
AUUCAGAUGUAAUACCCCUCCCCAACACUACCUAUGUGGUCCUUCUGUUGGAGACGUUAAUAACCUGUUCGCUCACUACUUGUUUGUCAAGUGUAUCUAGAGUACUCCCAAGGCAAGCUUUGAAAUCAAAGGCAUCCUCCCUAUUCUUUUCAUGGAUAUAAUGGAGAACCAGUAGAGUUAAAAGCAAAAUGACAAGGGCAUGAGAUCAAUUAUCUUUGGCUGUUUGCUAGCA